AACGAACGCUGGCGGCGUGCCUAACACAUGCAAGUCGAACGGGAAUAACGGGGCAACUCGUUUAGUACCGUGGCGCACGGGUGAGUAACACGUAGGUAACCUACCUUCCGCUGGGGAACAACUUCGGGAAACCGAGGCUAAUACCGCAUACGUUCUUCUAUCGUAUUGAUAGGAGAGGAAAGGCGGCCUCUGCAUGCAAGCUGUCGACGGAAGAUGGUCCUGCGUACCAUUAGCUAGUUGGUAGGGUAAUGGCCUACCAAGGCAACGAUGGUUAGCUGAUCUGAGAGGACGAUCAGCCACACUGGCACUGGAACACGGGCCAGACUCCUACGGGAGGCAGCAGUGGGGAAUAUUGCGCAAUGGGCGAAAGCCUGACGCAGCAACGCCGCGUGAGUGAUGAAGGUUUUCGGAUCGUAAAACUCUGUCAGGAUGGGCGAAUAUCCUGCGAAAAUAAUACUUCGCAGGUUUGACAGUACAUCCAAAGGAAGCACCGGCUAACUCCGUGCCAGCAGCCGCCGUAACAC
rnacentral:rRNA from 1 species